rnacentral:rRNA from 1 species
CCUACGGGAGGCAGCAGUAGGGAAUAUUGCUCAAUGGGGGAAACCCUGAAGCAGCAACGCCGCGUGGAGGAUGAAGGUUUUCGGAUUGUAAACUCCUUUUGUUAGAGAAGAUAAUGACGGUAUCUAACGAAUAAGCAACGGCUAACUCCGUGCCAGCAGCCGCGGUAAUACGGAGGGUGCAGGCGUUACUCGGAAUCACUGGGCGUAAAGAGCGCGUAGGCGGGAUAGCAAGUCAGAUGUGAAAUCCUAUGGCUUAACCAUAGAACUGCAUUGGAAACUGUUAUUCUAGAGUAUGGGAGAGGUAGGUGGAAUUCUUGGUGUAGGGGUAAAAUCCGUAGAGAUCAAGAGGAAUACUCAUUGCGAAGGCGACCUGCUAGAACAUAACUGACGCUGAUGCGCGAAAGCGUGGGUAGCAAACAGGAUUAGAUACCCGUGUAGUC